rnacentral:rRNA from 1 species
UAGGGAAUCUUCCACAAUGGACGCAAGUCUGAUGGAGCAACGCGCGUGAGUGAAGAAGGUCUUCGGAUCGUAAAGCUCUGUUGUUGGUGAAGAAGGAUAGAGGCAGUAACUGGUCUUUAUUUGACGGUAAUCAACCAGAAAGUCACGGCUAACUACGUGCCAGCAGCCGCGGUAAUACGUAGGUGGCAAGCGUUGUCCGGAUUUAUUGGGCGUAAAGCGAGCGCAGGCGGAAUGAUAAGUCUGAUGUGAAAGCCCACGGCUCAACCGUGGAACUGCAUCGGAAACUGUCAUUCUUGAGUGCAGAAGAGGAGAGUGGAACUCCAUGUGUAGCGGUGGAAUGCGUAGAUAUAUGGAAGAACACCAGUGGCGAAGGCGGCUCUCUGGUCUGCAACUGACGCUGAGGCUCGAAAGCAUGGGUAGCGAACAGGAUUAGAUACCCUGGUAGUCCAUGCCGUAAACGAUGAGCGCUAGGUGUUGGGGACUUUCCGGUCCUCAGUGCCGCAGCAAACGCAUUAAGCGCUCCGCCUGGGGAGUACGANG